CGCUCCCGGGAUUCUGAGGCGGUCGGCAUGGCCUGGAACCCUGGGGGCUGGCGCCGUGAUCACCUCCGGAGGCCAGCCACGCCAGCACCCGAUUCGACGCUCUGGACAACCAGGACAUAGCACGGGACCGGCGUCAGGGGCUGGGACCCAGGAGUGAGGAGGAGCAGCGGGGAUGAGGCCCAGUCCCCAAAGGGAAGGAAACCCUGCACUUCCCCAACUGAGUCUGGCUGUAAGACAACCCAGAAGGGAGAGGGCUGGCCUAAAGUGAACUGGAGCCCCAGCACCCUAAGCACUCCCUGAACAGCACCAACACACCUGCCCUCUGCUUUUCCUGAACACUUGGC